UGGGCGUAAGCGCGCGCAGGUGGUUUCUUAUGUCUGAUGUGAAAGCCCACCGCUCAACCGUGGAGGGUCAUUGGAAACUGGGGAACUUGAGUCCUGAAGAGGAAAGUGGAAUUCCAAGUGUAGCGGUGAAAUGCGUAGAUAUUUGGAGGAACACCAGUGGCGAAGGCCCCCUUCUGGUCUGUUACUGACACUGAGGCGCGAAAGCGUGGGGAGCAGAACAGGAUUAAAUA
rnacentral:rRNA from 1 species